GGUUCAAUGGUCUAAUGGUUAUGAUUUCUGUCUCACACGUCUCCAGUCAGAGAAGGUGCACAGAAGGUUCCCAGUUCGAUCCUGGGUUGAACCA